UACGUAGGGGCCGAGCGUUGUCCGGAAUCAUUGGGCGUAAAGAGCGUGUAGGCGGCUGACCAAGUCCUGCGUGAAAUCUUGCGGCUCAACCGCAAGCGGUCGUGGGAAACUGGUCGGCUAGAGUGCGGGAGAGGAGAGUGGAAUUCCUGGUGUAGCGGUGAAAUGCGCAGAUAUCAGGAAGAACACCCGUGGCGAAGGCGGCUCUCUGGAACGCAACUGACGCUGAGACGCGAAAGCGUGGGAGCAAACAGG
rnacentral:rRNA from 1 species